GUAACGGCGAGUGAAGCGGCAACAGCUCAAAUUUGAAAUCUGGCCUCUUUGGGGUCCGAGUUGUAAUUUGGAGAGGAUGUUUCGGGUACGGUCCGGGCUUAUAUUUCUUGGAACAGAAUGUCAUAGAGGGUGAGAAUCCCGUCUGGAGCUCGGACACGGCCUAUGUGAAACUCCUUCGACGAGUCGAGUUGUUUGGGAAUGCAGCUCUAAAUGGGUGGUAAAUUUCAUCUAAAGCUAAAUAUUGGCCAGAGACCGAUAGCGCACAAGUAGAGUGAUCGAAAGAUGAAAAGCACUUUGAAAAGAGAGUUAAAAAGUACGUGAAAUUGUUGAAAGGGAAGCGCUGGCAACCAGACUUGCAUGUCGGGGUUCCCCCUUGCUUUUGCCUGGGUUACUCCCCGGCGUUCAGGCCAACAUCGGUUUCGGGGGUUGGUUAAAGGCCCUAGGAAUGUACUUACCCUCCGGGGUAAACUUAUAGCCUAGGGUGUCAUGCGACCUCCCGGGACCGAGGAACGCGCUUCGGCUCGGAUGUUGGCGUAAUGGUUGUCAGCGACCCG
rnacentral:rRNA from 1 species